rnacentral:rRNA from 1 species
UGAGGAAUAUUGGUCAAUGGACGGAAGUCUGAACCAGCCAAGUAGCGUGCAGGAUGACGGCCCUAUGGGUUGUAAACUGCUUUUGUAUGGGGAUAAAGUUAGGGACGUGUCCCUAUUUGCAGGUACCAUACGAAUAAGGACCGGCUAAUUCCGUGCCAGCAGCCGCGGUAAUACGGAAGGUCCAGGCGUUAUCCGGAUUUAUUGGGUUUAAAGGGAGCGUAGGCUGGAGAUUAAGUGUGUUGUGAAAUGUAGACGCUCAACGUCUGAAUUGCAGCGCAUACUGGUUUCCUUGAGUACGCACAACGUUGGCGGAAUUCGUCGUGUAGCGGUGAAAUGCUUAGAUAUGACGAAGAACUCCGAUUGCGAAGGCAGCUGACGGGAGCGCAACUGACGCUUAAGCUCGAAGGUGCGGGUAUCAAACAGGAUUAGAUACCCUGGUAGUCCGCACAGUAAACGAUGGAUGCCCGCUGUUGGUACCUGGUAUCAGCGGCUAAGCGAAAGCAUUAAGCAUCCCACCUGGGGAGUACGCCGGCGACGGUG